rnacentral:rRNA from 1 species
CAGUAGCCGCGGUAAUACGGAGGGGGCUAGCGUUGUUCGGAAUUACUGGGCGUAAAGCGCACGUAGGCGGCUUGGUAAGUUAGAGGUGAAAGCCCGGAGCUCAACUCCGGAAUUGCCUUUAAGACUGCCGAGCUAGUAGGUGAGAGAGGUAAGUGGAAUUCCGAGUGUAGAGGUGAAAUUCGUAGAUAUUCGGAAGAACGCCAGUGGCGAAGGCGGCUUACUGGCUCAUUCUAGACGCUGAGGUGCGAAAGCGUGGGGAGCAAACAGGAUUAGAUACCCCUGUAGUCCCUGUCUCUUAUAA